rnacentral:rRNA from 1 species
UACGUAGGCAGCAAGCGUUGUUCGGAAUUACUGGGCGUAAAGAGUGCGUAGGCGGUUGGCUAAGUUUGGUGUGAAAUCUCCCGGCUCAACUGGGAGGGUGCGCCGAAAACUGGCCGGCUAGAGUGUGGGAGAGGGAAGUGGAAUUCCUGGUGUAGCGGUGAAAUGCGUAGAUAUCAGGAGGAACACCUGCGGUGUAGACGGCUUCCUGGACCAUUACUGACGCUGAGGCACGAAAGCGUGGGGAGCAAACAGG